GUUUUAAGUGCGCUCCCCACUUUUGCCCUGACUGUUUUGAAGGUGCCGAAGAAGCUCCUAGACGAGGUGGACAAGAUCAGAAGACGCUUUCUAUGGGAUCAAGAAGAAGGGGUCAGUGGUGGGAAAUGCAAAGUAAGCUGGCCGGUGGUGUGCACUCCGAUCGACAACGAUGGACUGGGCAUCUCAAAUUUGCAUCGCUUCGGCCGUGCACUCAGACUCAGGUGGUUGUGGUUCUCUUGGAUCACACCCAGUAGGCCUUGGGUGGGCAUGCAGCUGCCAUGCGACCAAGGAGACAGAGAUCUC
rnacentral:rRNA from 1 species